rnacentral:lncRNA from 1 species
CCAAGUCCACAUCCUGGUGCAGGAGCACCUCGUCGAUGCGGCUGGUGUAGAAAGGAACGCUCAUCUCCUUGGCCAGCUCCUCGGCUUCUUCCUGCGUGCGGCCCCACAGCGCCUUCACCGCGAAGCCCUCAUCUUUCAGCAGCGGGAUGAUGACUCGGGCUGUGAGGCUGGUGCCGAACACGCCCACCCCGGGAAGCAUGGCUGCUCAGGUCCGCCCGGUUCUGCUGCUGCCGGGAUCUCCAGUCGAACACCGGCGCACACGCCUCUCCGGCCGGUCCCGCAGUCCCCGGCUCCUCGACCGACCUCGCUGCGCUGCGCUAGCCGCCGAGCCCCGGGCAAGGCGCCCGAGUGCGGUGGCGUGACAGCGCACCGAACCACAGACCCUGCAGGCUCCGGGAGCCUCAGCGCGGUGACUGCUGCAGUGCCCGCCACUCGGGGCUCGUGUCCUUCCCGGAGACAGCGGCAGGGACUCCGCCAGGACGCACGAGGCCCCGAAGCCCCGUGGAGCCCGGGCUCAGGCAGCGCUCCCGCCGCAGCGCCGGCCGGCUCCGUGCGCCCCGCGGAGGCCGCCCCAUGGCCGGCUCAUCCCGGCAGAAUCUCUCUCCCGGAUGGCGCUCCCGCUUCACCACCCUCUGUGGGCUGCGGAUCUUCUUUUUCCCCAAGUCCUUGGUAACGAAUGGAACCCAGAGGCCACCCGGAGGCCGACUAAGGAUGAGGCUCGUAGUGUACCAGGCGCCGAUCCCGAGCAGCAGCACCGCAGCGGCGGACACCACCCGGCGCCAGGCUCCUCAUUCUGCUGCCAUAUUCGCUCGCUCGCAGCGCGCCUUGGGCGGCCUCGGCCCCGCUCGGGCUCGGGCUCCGGCUCCGGGAUCCCGCGGGUACGAGGGCGGAGUUGGCGACUUUGACUGUCAGCGGCCGGGGUUCCUGCACCGCCCUUGCGGUAGCGCCGUGCUCCAUUGGCCGCCAAGCGUCGCCCCCGCCCUUGUCUCCGCCGCCCAAGGCACUCGUUGCGCUCAGCGCCCGGCCCCUGGAACCCGCUUUGACUCCUCCCCGGCCCCGCCUGUCUCGCCUGCUGCCCCCGGGUGGCUUCCCUUUCUCUGCGCUCUCCGCCUCCGCGGCCGCCUCCUCCUCGUUGUGCUCCAAGCUCCGCCCAAGCAAGCAAAUAAAUCUAUCAAAGCAGGGCGCGCCCUUAAUAGGCUAGGACUGGGUUCCUUGGAAAAGAUUGGCGGAUGCUAAGACCCCGGGGAGGCCGGAGGACCCCACGAAGUGUGAGCAGCGUGGUUCACAGUCUCCUCUCCCGGAUAUUUUUCUGUGCUCGCCACUGCUCUAGGAAGCUGUCCAGGCACUUAACCCUGAGGUUAUUGGAAACUCGUUUCAUUGAUGAGAAAGUGAGCUCUGAGGAGGUUAAGGGACUUGCUCAAGGUGACACACAUGAACAACAGUGCCAGGAUCGGAAGGCAGACACCAGCAUCUCGGCGCUGAACCCCUAGAGUUCUGACUCGCAAGUGUGCCAGCUCCAAUCCCAAACCAACUCCACUCCUGAGGAGGCUCCACUGGUCACCUACUCCAUGCUUGUGCCCAUGUGGCAUGGGCGACCUCACCCAGACUCCGCAGUGGCUGUGGCACGUGUGUCUAGAGUCUGGUCUUCCUUGUUUACUUCUGGCUGCCUGCCACUCCUGGCCACUGCCCUCUGUCAGCUUCAGUUCCCUGGCACAGCGCUUCUCCUGGCCUUUAAUACAUCUGCAGUCAGAAUGCUGGGGACCAUCAGUCCGAGAUGCGUGGAAAGCCCUAACUGCGGUGGUGACUGAGUGAGCGUCUGAUGGCUCAAGAUAUCCUCGUCACUUAUCACGGGGCCUAAGGAGAUAGUAGGCACUUGUCUAAGUACACAAAUGGAUGGAUAUUCACCACCUGUCACAUUGUGCCCUCUUCGUACUGGGAGGGAGGAGUCAAUGCCAAAGGGCAAGUGGACCUGCUCUUCUAGCUCAGUGUUUCUGGAAAGGUGAGGUUACUACUGUCUAUUAUGUUCAUCCCUGGCCUUUAGCACUCAGAGGAAGAGACACGUGUCCUGCUUCAACAUAAGCGUGGAAAACAUGAUACAUCCGAGUGUUUAAAGCAACUGUAACAACUGGCACAGAGACGGGGCUCUUGGAGAGAGCUGUACACACACACACACACACACACACACACACACAAAGGCUGAUGUGGCAAUGGGAGGAGGCAAAGUUGACCUCAGGACGACAUUAUUAAAAAGGACAAAGUGCUCCGGGAUUGGCAACAACCUGAACAGGGUCAGACAAAGAGCAGACAAGAUAUGCCUGCUGAUGGUUAGCUGAGAAGUGCCUAAGGAAAAGGAGGCGUGCAGCCAUGGCUGCCAGGGUGCUGCUUUGGAGCAGAGCGAGAGCCACGGUGUGCCGCCCCUGGACAGGUGCAAGGUGGGUGACUCCUGGCUUGCAGAGUCAGAAGCCAGAGCUGACUCUUGGCUCUGCCAUUUACACCCUGUGGGACCCGGGACAAAUGUCUUCUCUGUGUCCGUCUGUAAAGGGGGACAAUAGCUAACACUAGAGAGGACCAUGUGAUUUGACAGUCGUGACGUCCUGAGAAGGAUGCUCCCUAGAAAGGUUCUAUGUGAUAUAUAUGCCCUCUAUUUUGAUAUUUAUUUUUAUUACAUACAUUCUAUUUGAAAAUAAAUGUUAGGCCAUGUAUAUAUCCU